UGUAAAUCCCAGAGACCUUGGGGGCAGCAGAAGAGGAAGUGCCAGACAGCCAUGAUCUAGCACCCCCCAGCUUCUAGCAUGAGCAAAUGCAGGCAUGUGGCUGCAUUUCCUGAAUCAAAGAUAUUACCAAGCAGAAGAUGGACAAAGUAGACAGAUUUUAAACACUGAGAAUGCUUUGGCUUUACUCAAAAAAGAACUGGGUGGCAGCUGCCCCACAGGACCUGGACUGCUCUUAAACAUCUCAGAACAGGCGUUGGACGGUUUAAGGCGAGCAUGCACUCUUGGAGCUCUCCAACAAUGCUGGCUGCAGCCGUGGUGCUCAAUCUCAGAUGGCCACCCACAUCAUAUAUGAAUGCCCUUUCAACCCUCCUUUGGGUGCCUGAGGUCUUAUUGACAUUGACCAUUCUGCUGGUUGCUGACUUUCUGGCCCUCAUGCCUCUGACACAUGAGUGUGGUGACACUCACUUCAUCAUCAUCAUCAUCAUCAAAAGAAUGAUUUUCUGUGAAUCUGUUUUCCUUUAAAAACAUCCAGAGUGGCUAGUCAGACAUAUUUAAUGAGAAAAUGUCAAUAUGGCUGUAAAAGAAUUAAAGAAAUAAAGAUUAAGGGUGAUUUGUAUUUGAAAAACUACUACUUGUUUCUGCCAACCUAACGUCUCUGUUGUCUGGCAGGUUUCAGCCUUUUCACUUUGCAAAUGAGAAAUUAUUUCCUCCCCUAAAAUUUAUUUGUCUGAGUUUCAAUCAGCAGUCAGCAUAGAAGACCAGAAACUAAUGAGAAGCACAGCACUCUAGUACAGAAAGCAAGCAUGCUAUAUCUCCUUAAAAUCUCCUAAUAGUCUUGCUAGCUGAAGGCCAGAUUCUGCCACACUAUGUUAAAUGGUAAUCUUACUCCACAAGUAGCUCUAUUGAUUUCAAAUCUGUGUGACCAAUCCUCACUUGAUAUAAAGCAGCUUAGUUCUAUUGAUUUCAAGUAAGAUAUACUGAUUUAUAUCACUUGAGUAGUCUUAUUGGUU